rnacentral:rRNA from 1 species
UACGGGGGGGGGCAAGCGUUGUUCGGAAUUACUGGGCGUAAAGGGCUCGUAGGCUGCCAACUAAGUCAGACGUGAAAUCCCUCGGCUUAACCGGGGAACUGCGUCUGAUACUGGAUGGCUUGAGGUUGGGAGAGGGAUGCGGAAUUCCAGGUGUAGCGGUGAAAUGCGUAGAUAUCUGGAGGAACACCGGUGGCGAAGGCGGCAUCCUGGACCAAUUCUGACGCUGAGGAGCGAAAGCCAGGGGAGCAAACGGGG